GAGUUUGAUCGUGGCUCAGAGCGAACGCUGGCGGCAGGCUUAACACAUGCAAGUCGAGCGGGCGUAGCAAUACGUCAGCGGCAGACGGGUGAGUAACACGUGGGAACGUACCUUUUGGUUCGGAACAACUGAGGGAAACUUCAGCUAAUACCGGAUAAGCCCUAACGGGGAAAGAUUAUCGCCGAAAGAUCGGCCCGCGUCUGAUUAGCUAGUUGGUGAGGUAAUGGCUCACCAAGGCGACGAUCAGUAGCUGGUCUGAGAGGAUGAUCAGCCACACUGGGACUGAGACACGGCCCAGACUCCUACGGGAGGCAGCAGUGGGGAAUAUUGGACAAUGGGGGCAACCCUGAUCCAGCCAUGCCGCGUGAGUGAUGAAGGCCCUAGGGUUGUAAAGCUCUUUGUGCGGAAGAUAAUGACGGUACCGCAAGAAUAAGCCCCGACUAACUUCGUGCCAGCCGCCGCAGU
rnacentral:rRNA from 1 species